GUAAUAGUGUUGAUGUAAUAUCAUAGCCAAUGAAGUUAAUCUGAGGUGUGAUUAUUGCUAGUUGAAUACUUAGAUUUCUUUAACGUGUUUGACUUGGUAUCACAUGACAUCUUGAUUAAAAAAUUAGAAAGAUAUAAAAUUAA